GAUGAAGAACGCAGCGAAAUGCGAUAUGUAGUGUGAAUUGCAGAAUUCAGUGAAUCAUCGAAUCUUUGAACGCACAUUGCGCCCCUUGGUAUUCCAUGGGGCAUGCCUGUUCGAGCGUCAUUUGUACCUUCAAGCUCUGCUUGGUGUUGGGUGUUUGUCUCGCCUCUGCGCGUAGACUCGCCUCAAAACAAUUGGCAGCCGGCGUAUUGAUUUCGGAGCGCAGUACAUCUCGCGCUUUGCACUCAUAACGACGACGUCCAAAAGUACAUUUUUACACUCUUGACCUCGGAUCAGGUAGGGAUACCCGCUGAACUUAAGCAUAUCAAUAAGCGAGGA
rnacentral:misc_RNA from 1 species